rnacentral:rRNA from 1 species
UACGGAGGAUGCGAGCGUUAUCCGGAUUUAUUGGGUUUAAAGGGUGCGUAGGCGGGAUGCCAAGUCAGCGGUAAAAAUGCGGUGCUCAACGCCGUCGAGCCGUUGAAACUGGCGUUCUUGAGUGGGCGAGAAGUAAGCGGAAUGCGUGGUGUAGCGGUGAAAUGCAUAGAUAUCACGCAGAACUCCGAUUGCGAAGGCAGCAUACCGGCGCCCUACUGACGCUGAGGCACGAAAGCGUGGGUAUCGAACAGG